AUUGAACGCUGGCGGCAGGCCUAACACAUGCAAGUCGAGCGGAUGAAGGGAGCUUGCUCCUGGAUUCAGCGGCGGACGGGUGAGUAAUGCCUAGGAAUCUGCCUGGUAGUGGGGGAUAACGUCCGGAAACGGGCGCUAAUACCGCACACGUCCUGAGGGAGAAAGUGGGGGAUCUUCGGACCUCACGCUAUCAGAUGAGCCUAGGUCGGAUUAGCUAGUUGGUGGGGUAAAGGCCUACCAAGGCGACGAUCCGUAACUGGUCUGAGAGGAUGAUCAGUCACCCUGGAACUGAGACACGGUCCAGACUCCUAGGGGGGGCAGCAGUGGGGAAUUUUGGAAAAUGGGGGAAAGCCUGAUCCAGCCAUGCCGGGUGUGUGAAGAAGGUCUGCGGUUUGUAAAGCACUUUAAGUUGGGAGGAAGGGCAGUAAGUUAAUACCUUGCUUUUUUGACGUUACCAACAGAAUAAGCACCGGCUAACUGCGG
rnacentral:rRNA from 1 species